UUGCAGCAGCGCCUGUCAGGACACACACCACCCCCUGGCCGGGGCUCCAGGGAGGGGCGCUGGCCCUGCCCUGCAUGCCGAUCCCGAACAGCGGGCCUGGGAUAGGGCUGGUCCUGGCCCUCCUCCAAAUCCCCAGUGUAACCCACCUCCCCCCCAGCCCCCCACGGCAGCAGCAGCGCCCCCCCCCUUGGCACUUUACAGCCCAGGCUUUGCUGUCCCAUGCGCUUUGUGCAUGCCCCCCCCCGCCCGUGACAGUCCGUGUGCAGAGCUGUGCCAGGACUGUUGUACCCGGAGGGGUGGUAGAACCACACCCACCCCACCCGCGUGGGGAGCCAGGUGCCCAGCGAGCGAGGCCCUGGCCAGGGAAGCCAGCCUGCUCUGGGGGCAGGUGGGAAAGUCCCAGCGCUUGAGACCUGGCUCCAGGCUGGUCUGGCCUCUGCUCAGGAGCAGGGAGGGAGCCAAGCAGGCACUUCCUGUGCUGGGGACGGCCUGUUCCCUGUGAGACGGGAGGCUGAAGCUGCCAAAGCAAGCGGCACGUUCCAGCAGGGUUGGGAAUUGCUUCCAGAUGCAGCAGGAAGAAAGCUGAGCCUUGCCCUGGGAGACCCUCCGUGCCUGCUGGGUGGGACCUGCCCCCUCGGGGCUGCCGCCUACCCUGUCUGGGCUCAUGGGGAACAGGGCGGAGUGUGUCGUCUGUCCUGCAGUUAGGCAUGUUCUUUGCCCUGAUGGACGGCGGCAGCAGCAGCCCCUUCCCCUGGGCACCCAUUCCAAACCUACCCUCGGCUCAGGUGGAAAGGCUCCCACCCCACUCGCGCUGCUCCCGCCAUUCCAGCACGAGGACUCACUUCCCGGGACCCAGGCAGCCAGCGGCUCUUGCCAACAAUACUGGAAAACUGAGGCAAUGGAAAGCAGCUUUAGAGGUCUGCCCUGAGCUCUCUCCAACUCCUGCUCGGGCUCCAGGCUGUGUCCUGCCCCUGAAACUUCAUGACAAGGUGCGAGCAUGGAGGAGAGGGGUUACAGUGAGGUGCAGGGCUGCAGGGAUGGAAGGAGUCCCCCAGCUGUAGUCUGUGCUGGAGCCAGUCUGCAUGGCAGUGUCUUCAGCCCACUCACCCCGCUGCCAGGGAGGCAAGGCAGGGCCCGUGCAGCCAGGGGUGCCCCUGUACUCCAGCAGCAGCAUUGUCCCAGGCUCCUGUAGAAGGAGCAGGAUUUCAUGAAACCCAGGCCACCCCCUGCCCCCAUGGCUCUAGCAUAGGCAAGGCCAGAGGCUUCUUCCGCCUCAGUUGUGCAGGGAAUGCCACAAAACCUCUGGCCAGGCCCUAGGGUGACCAGAUGUCCCCAUUUUAUAGGGACAGUCCCGAUUUUGGAAUCUUUUUCUUAUGUAGGCUUCUAUUACCCCCAACUCCCAUCCUGAUUUUUCACAUUUGCUGUCUGGUCCCCCUACCAGGCCCCCACCCCUCUCACCCUGCCUGGUGGUCCCCUCAGCUGCAGGGAGCCGCUACCCAGCCUGCAGCCCAGCACCGUGCCUAUGCAGGUCUUCCCUGCCCCACCCAAGGGCAACACUGCUCAGCAGCUGUUUUGCUGAAUGGCCUACCAGCGUCCAUGGUAAGAACGGCCCGACUGGGUCAGAGCAAAGGUCCAUCCAGCCCCGUGUCCUGUCUACUGACAGCGGCCAGGGCCCGGUGCCCCAGAGGGAAUCCUGCAGUGACCCCUCCCCUGCCGCCCAGUCCCAGAUCCUGGCAGACAGGCUCGGGCCACCCUCCCUGCCUGGUUCAGCAUGUGGGUCUGGUUCCCUUGUGCUUGGUGUUACCAUGUCAGAUUCCCAGCCUUGAAUGGUGGCCCCGAGGCAGGGGGCAUAAUUCUGCUGGGGGCCUGGGUGAGAUUGAUGGGGAGAGAGCACCCCCCCCCAUAUUAAUCAUUUCUUCUCCCUCGCUUGGUCUAAGGCAGCAGGGAGCAGCGUAGAGCACAUCAGCCAGAGCCUCCAACAAGCCCUUGGGUUUCCCCAAACAGUAAGAGUUUAUGUGCGGUGAGAGCUAGAAUCUGCAUGUGGACUCCUACUGCUCCGGGAGGCUGGAAGUACCACAACCCAGGAGCACCCCCCCACCAGCCCCAUCCCGAGCUGGGGAAGGCCAGCUGCCUGGCAUCCCUGGAAAUAGCAAUGCAGUCCAGCCCCUCUGCCAAAGCCGGACAAAGACAGGGAUGGACGAGGCACAGCCUCUUCCCCCCCAUCCCUCCCUGCACCGCUGGGACCCUGCUGGCCAGGCAGCAAUGAGUGGGAGACAGCAGCCGGGCCAUGACCUGCUCCACACGCAGGUGAGGCACCUGAGCCCUCAGCACCGCGGCAGAGCUGGGUGCUACAGGAGUGGUGUGGAAGGGAAGCAGGCCCUGGCUGUGACUGACCUCACACUGAGGGGAUAAUGCAGGCCUGGGCCAGGCCAGCAGAGCACUGGACCAACCGUACACCUGGGCAGGCUCUGCUCCGUUCCCUCAGACAGACUCCAGGCCUGGAGCCAGGAAGUCCAGGACCCAGCAACAGGCAAGAUCAGCUGCUUCAGAGCAGGGGGAAUUGAGCACUGCUGCAGAGGGGGAAUCCCAGACCCUUACAGUUCAGCUCACACCCUGAGGCAGCAGUAUCACCCUGCCCCCAGGUGGGUCACAACUCCCCCCGACACCAUCCUGGGCUCACUGAUGCUGUACACCUCAUUUCCAAAGGUACCUAGGCCCCGUCCAUUCAGCGGUUCCCUAGUUACAAGGCCUGAGUCCAAUGCUGUGGCUCCCUGCGCUACUGUUGGGUGACUGGGAGAAGGAGACGGGGCUAGGCUGGUCUCGUGAAGUUAUAGGACUGUCUGUUGCUCCUGUUUCAAGGCACAGGCUAGAAGACCUAGCGUUGUAUGCACACACAUGUGCACCAGCUCCCUGGCUGCCUCCCACCUGGCUGGGAGGCUCAUGUGCAGGGUGCAGGGCACUUUGGCUUCCUAGUUUCUCCAGCUGAUCCCAGCCCCAGGCCCUCCCAGCCCCACCUGCCCAAGGCAUUUGUCCACAUGAUGCCAGGAAGGUCAGAGCCCACACCAUGAGGGAAGCAAGGUCCCUGUGUGCAGCAGGAGCCCCACUGCCAGCCUGCUGGCCAGCCUGCACCAGGGCCCCUCCUUACCUAGCUCCCCACACAGCUCAGUGGCCUAAGCCAGCACCCCAUAGCCUUUCCCCCUCUCCCUCCAGUACACCCCACGCUGCCCCUGCAGAGGGCUCAGGGCAGCACCGUUCAAUGCAUGAGAGAACUCCCUUCUCUGCCUUUCCUUCCCUACCCGGCCCUGUGCUGCAGCUGCUGUCCCCCUAGCCAGGUACCCCUGCUUGCAGGCAGGCGUGGGUCUGCCUCUCCCGUACUGGCUGGGUGGGCCCCUUUCGGACAGGGCUGGCUCUGCCCCCUAGAGGCAGGAUCUCCCCAGCAGCUGCAGAGCGGGCCAAGGCUCCAGCCCUGUGAUGAGUGUGUGUCUAGCCCAAGCGACCAUGGCUGUAGACUGUUACCAACACACAACCACAGUAACAAUCUAAAGCCACGGUUGCCCUGGAGACAUGGGGGUGUGGGCAAAAGAAGUUGGUACCAUGGUGACAGGGAUAAGGUAGGCUCAGUCAGUGCAGAAGGAGAAAAGGAAUCCAGCACCUAGAUCACAGCCAAGCAGGAUCAACUCCCCCCCCCUCCCUCUUCACACCAGGGCACAGCACCCAGCUCAUCUUCAUUUUAACCCAUCACACUCAGGCCAGCUCAGCUGCUCCCCAUGGGGACACCUCUACUACCCCGGCCUGUCGAAUCCCAGUGCUGGCAGCACGUGUUCACUGUGACCUCCACCCAAGACCUGCAGCUCAGAGAAGUGAGAUGCUAUUUCCGCUCCCCCCUGCCACAGAAGAGCUGGCAGUAAAGCUCCCCUCCCAGGCAGAGGCUGAGGUGCAGAACAGAGCCUCCCACAGUGGUUGCGCCACGGUGGAGACUUAGUUCUGACAGGCGCCAGCAGGGAGUCUCAUGGCCUGUGAGGUGGAGAUGUGGCACUGGCUGGAGGCAGAGCAAAGGCCACCCCAGCUGCCUCUAGUUCUGCACCUGCCCAUGUCUGUGCCUUGCAAUCUACUGGCCCUGGAAGGGGUCAGACAGCCCCACCUAGCACCUGAACUUGCAAGCCACUGGGGCAGAGAGGCCACUCGGAUGCACCAGAGCUCACUGGCAGAGACAAUGCAACUUCUCUAGGUUGUACAGUGCCACUGACCUCUGCUCACCUUGCAGCUGUAUUUUUAGAUCCACAACAGGUGCUGAGCUGCGAGAGGACACAAUGUUCUCACACAGCAGCACCAGCAAAACUGUGCAUGGUGGGGGAGCCCAGGGCUGGAAGAGCAGGAGUGGAGGGGGACCCUGCUUCACAAGGCCUGCCCUUUUUCCAGGCUCACCAACCCCAUCUGCCCUUCUCACUCCCUGCUGCUAAAUUCUCCUUCUGUGACUGGCCAUGCUCCUGCCCGGAAUAGCCAUCCUCUGGCUGGAUUCAGGUUCAGCCUCUGCAUGUGCUUUCCAGGUCCAUGCCCUGUGGGGCUGCAGAUGGUUUUAUUAUUCUGCUCCGCUCCCCUCGUGGGGCUGCAGAAAGGUACGAGCCCUGCACGUCCACACCAGAGUUGGGCACCUGCUGCCAGACAGGAAGAGGCCCAAGGGCCCAGAAGAGAAAGUCCACAGUUCAGAGUGCGUCACAAGUGUAGGACAACAGGGCUGGGGUGCUCCUUUCCACACCUGAGGACAAGGGGAAGAAGAGAGAUCAGCAUCAACCCAAGGCAUGUUGUAUACGUAACGGGAAGGAGGAAUCCCAUCCACCCCACACCUGUUCCCCAAACCAGCCUGGGCAGCAUCACCCAUGCACAAGAUCAUCUGCUGGCCCCUCCCUCGUAUCCCAGAGCGUGCAGGGAAAUGCAUCCAGCCCUUGGGAGUAGGGAACCAGGCUGGGCUACACGAGGAACAUCCCCAAUUCAGAGAUGCACCCAGAAGAAAGCGGCUAAGGAGGAGUCAGGUAGCUCUCACAGCCAGGGUGCAGUGCGGGCAGAGCCAGCACCUCCUCCAGGCUGGGGCUGGGGAGUUCCUAGGCCAUGACUUGCCCUUGUGAGAGAACUGAUGGGCUCCCUCUUUCCCGCCCCAUUCCACAUCUCCUCUGGCGAAUGACUGGCCCUGCAGCAGGCAGGAGGAGGUGAGUCAGGCUGGAGUGGCUAAUGGGAAAAUAAUGCAGCUGGGCUUUGCAGACUCCCUCUUGCUACCUGCCAGGGCCCCCACCCCCUUAACAAAACAGCAUGCCCAGCAUCUCUGGGCCCCCAGGAACCCUGGUGAUGAGCACACGAUACCCACCACCACAGGACAGACCCUGGGCCCUGCCCAGCAGCCUUGCUCGGCCUGCCCUUCGGUGUGCAUACAGCCACAGCACGCUGGUGGCCAUUGUGGGAACCCCACCAAGGGGCACAGAGAAGAGGGAGCUGCUAAAGGCUGAGAAAUGUGCACAGCAAAACAAGUUCCUGGGAAUCCAGGGCAGGUGGGGGCCAGAUUCCUCCUCCCCCCCCCCCCCAACCUACCUGCUUAGCCUGGGCUUCACAGAGGUUUCUCCCUCAGCAGAGAUGCAGCUGGGGGAGUUUCUGCCAAGAUGGGAUGUGUCUGGAUUUUGACCUUGUGAGGUUUUGCUGAUGUACAAGUACUCGCUGUGCUGAGCUCUCUGCAGGGGCAGCGAUCCCACGGACAUGCCUCAGUGGAACUGCCAUUAACACGCUUCACUACAUUAGCUUCAGCUACAAGAGCAGCUUUGUACACUCAAAAACAAACAAAUGAAGUUGGGCAGCCAGACACUGUCCCUGGUGGCAGGGAGCCUGCCCAUAGUAUGUCAGUAUCCCAGCACCUGGAGCAUGGCCCCGGCCUGGGCAGGCAGCACCUGGAGCAUGUAUAAGUCUACCCUGUAUGCACCUCCCACCCCACCAGCCUCUCAUUCAACUUCUGCCUAAAGACUCACGCCUGCUGCAUGGCUGACAGAGCGUGAUUAGCACUAGUUACCUUGUUACACGUGCACACGGGGACCCAGGCAGGCAUGUUGCACGUGUCUGACCAUCUUCAACAUUUCACCAAGGGGGGGCGGGGUUUGUGUGUGGUCCUUAAAAGCGAACAACCAGCUGAUCAUGAUGGCUGCUGCAAGAGGUUUGUACACUUUUUAAGAGAUGUGUAAUGUGGACUAGUGCGUGUCAUGGGUGGCUUGUGCGUCAAGCGGGGAUGCUCCCACUAGCCCAGAGCGGGGUUGGUACACCCGGCACAGUGUGUUCCAGAACUGUUGGAAGGGACGCAUGUCACGUGAGGGUGGGCAGGUCCCAGCUAGUGCACAAGAGUGAGACCCACCCCCCAUCUCAGCCCAGCCCAGCGUUUACAGUCUAGAACAGGGGCAGCCCUGAAGAAAAAAGACUGACAUGGGGACCCUCAGGCUUACCUGAAGUGUGUGAAAUGCCUGGAUUAUGAAGAGACAAGUCUUGGACUGUGUAAGAGGAGAGGAAAGGGCCCACGCUGUUCUCCAUUAGCGAGGCCCUCUGCCCAAUGCCAGUGUUUUACUGAAACAGGUCCCAGCUCUCUGGACUGGAGACGUGUGCAGAGGACUAACCACAGGGUGAGAAAUACCUGGUUAGACAGGACCAGAACUUGGUCCUAAGUAAGGGCUCUAGACUGCACUUGAUAUUUAUCUGUAGCCUUGGGUUUCCAGCCCUUUCACCAGCACCUACUUGGGCUCAGCUCAAGCUUAGUUAAACAUCUGUUUAGUUUUACUAUUGACAGGACAAAGCAACUUGUGCAAGAGAGUUUGGUGAACAGAGGCCAGGCUGGUGCUCUGGGGUGCACUGCAUUGCAGGUGUCCAGAAGACCUGGGGCUGGGCCCUUGUGUUUAACCAGGGGUGUGUGCCAAUUUCUAGCCGUCAGGGGGAGAAGCAGGGGGCUUGCUGAACACCGAGCAGAGCACUUGUGCUGCCAGCAGGCUUGGGAGGCUUCCCCUGGUGGGCACAGACAAGGCUCUGGCAUUGUAAGCGGGUGGUAGCGAUUCAUGCUUGACACCUCAGGUCACCCCGGAAGCGUCACAGUGGGGUAAUCAGCAGGAUCUGCACCCAGUUUAUUAGCUAAGCAAAGUUCAUGCUCAAGACACAAGAUAAAUUAAAAUACAGACACCAUCAGGGCCUAGAGUAAUAAGGCUGGAAACAAAGAAAAAAGGUCCCACUGUGUUUUUUCCCCUCUUUAAUUUGAGUGAGAGGAAUUGAACAUAAAGCCAUGCGAAAUGAGCAAGCAAGAAACAUUCCAAACCAGCCAGGCUGGAGUCUGGGCACUGCAGGGGAAGUGUCAACGAAAUGAGGUUUAUGCUUCUGGAAAAAAAGACAAGUUAUGGAGGGUGGCCAACUCCCUUGGGUAGGCAGGAGGAUGGGGAGAGCACAGAUUUCAGGGUGACACUCCAGCUAAGGGGAGCCAGCCCAGCCCAGUUCUCACUCAAGUGGCCAUAUGAUUAGAGAGAUGGCCUGACUGGAGUUUGUGACACUGGAAAAGGAACGUGAACACCUGAGGUGGAUGGAGGAGGGACAGGCAGUGGAGGAAGCCACUCACUGGAGACUUUUGGAGCUGGAAGACCCAAAGUGCAAAGAGGGAGCAUGUGCUCAGAACGCUGGAAUUACUAAAUAAAAGCCUCUCUCCCCUGCAUAAGCAUCCCCAGUGAGCCCCCAGCAGUGACCAGUUACACCUCAGCUUCAGGCAUUGAGGCUGCAUGAUGGAAUUCCCGACGAGCUUUGAGAGGACAUGCAGAGUGCACCAGCGUCCUGACACACAGGAAGAGAGCAUCUGCCGGAGGCUCCCAAUGGCCAGAUGGUCUGCUUGGUACCCUGCAAAAGCAAGAGCCAGUCUUGCCCGUAACAGCUGGAAGUCUCCGCAGAUGCUGGGCCUGGAAAGAGGUAAAUGUACCGAGAAGUCGCUGCUCUGAAGCCAGUUCAGGGAGCGGGAUGUGGCCAGCUGCGGGGCCAGGCAGACUUUGCAGAAGGGACUUUCCAAACACACUGUGCUUCCCAGCCGGCUACAGCCCAGCACCAUGGACAGCUGCCAGGAAGCCCAUCUAGCAGCAGCGCUUUGAUUGAGGCUCAGUUCAGCCAGCUGCCUGGACAAUACAAUGUCCAAAUGACACAGGCCUGCACAGCCAGCCCAGCUCCUCCCGCAGACAGAGGGGGUGAAGGACGUGCAAGGCCGGGCCAGACGUGCCAGUUGGAAUGGCGUUCUAAGACCGUGCGGAUUGUUAGGCCACUAGACAUAGGACCAGAGUGUAAGGUCAUGUCAAAGCCCCCGAACCCCUCCACACACACCCCACCCUCAGCAAGGGCAACUUGCACAGCUGAUUGUCUUGGCCUCCUAGUCCCGCUGGAGCCAAACCCCGGGUUUGAGUUUGAUAACUGCCGGCAGUUCAUCCACACAGCACAGAACCAGCCACCCCCACGAAGGCUGCAGCCAUGAGCAGGCAGGCCUCCCAAUCAACUCCAUGGCCCUCCACUGCCCAGCAGCAGCUAUGACCCCACAGAAUCCAGCACUAGCCUGGCUAGUACUGGGUUGAGACCAGGCCAUAGGGCAGGGCUGCCAUUUUACACCUCACUUGUCAGCCCUGUAGGCCCCUGGACUGCGACCUCAGUUCUGUCUGGUGGAAGCUGGAUUUAAGUUCCGGGAGCCCUACAUGAUCACCCUACUUUUCCCCAUCAGAUGGGAAGAGACAAGGACAGGCGCUCUGAGGGCAUCGCUGAUGCUGCAGGCAAAGAGGCAGCCCCUGCUUUGUGCUGGGGAGGGGAGGGAAGAAAUUGCCAACGCAAACAUGGGCAAAUUCUCUAGCACCUCCACAUGGCAAAUUUACAGCCCCUCCUGCUAGCGGGGAUACGACUGAGUAGUGAGAGAGUGUCCCUGCCCCUCACUCCAAAUAUUUCCUGCCAGAGCUCCCACUAGGCCUUUGGUCCCUGUGAUCCCCCUGCCCCGGUGUGUCUCUACAUGGCUGAUGGAGAGAUGGAUAAGCAGCAGACCCCUGCCUGCAGCCCUUGGUUGCCUCUACUGCUUUAACCUCAGUCUCCCAGCCCUGGCUCUCCUGUAUGGCUGGCUGGUUCUGGCUGCUCGGCGGCUCUGGGUGCAGGCGCUGUAGCUGUCAUGCUUCAGUAGCCAUGACUGUAGACUGUUACUGUUUCUUUAAUGCUACUUAGCAGUAAUCAGUCUAGAGCCAAGGUGCCGACGCGCUGACUUGGGAUCUUCUCACCCGUGUCUCCACAAGUGGCUCUUCACAGGCAUGGGCAUGGGGAUGGUAGUGGCAUGGAGCUAAGGGUGAUUUAUGCGGAUUAGAUCUCCUGGAUGGGUAGGGAUGACACAUGGGAGCCUUCUCUCUCCUACAGAGACUGAGUCAGGGAGCCUGUCAAAGGAUAUUUCUGUUGUGAAGCCAAUGGCAGGUCUGGGAGUUCCAGGGCUGGGCUGUAGGCACCAGCUCCUACAAAUGCUUAGGGUGCUAGCCAAUUAAGCCAUAACAGCGGCCACACUGGGUCAGACCAAUGGUCCAUGUAGUCCAGUGUCCGGUCUUCCAACUGUGGCCAGUGGGAGAUGCUUCAGAGGGAAUGAACAGAACGGGGCAAUUUUGAGUGAUCCAUCCCGUCAU